rnacentral:rRNA from 1 species
GAUGAACGCUGGCGGCGUGCCUAAUACAUGCAAGUCGAACGCUUUGUGGUUCAACUGAUUUGAAGAGCUUGCUCAGAUAUGACGAUGGACAUUGCAAAGAGUGGCGAACGGGUGAGUAACACGUGGGAAACCUACCUCUUAGCAGGGGAUAACAUUUGGAAACAGAUGCUAAUACCGUAUAACAAUGACAACCGCAUGGUUGUUAUUUAAAAGAUGGUUCUGCUAUCACUAAGAGAUGGUCCCGCGGUGCAUUAGCUAGUUGGUAAGGUAAUGGCUUACCAAGGCGAUGAUGCAUAGCCGAGUUGAGAGACUGAUCGGCCACAAUGGGACUGAGACACGGCCCAUACUCCUACGGGAGGCAGCAGUAGGGAAUCUUCCACAAUGGGCGAAAGCCUGAUGGAGCAACGCCGCGUGUGUGAUGAAGGGUUUCGGCUCGUAAAACACUGUUGUAAGAGAAGAAUGACAUUGAGAGUAACUGUUCAAUGUGUGACGGUAUCUUACCAGAAAGGAACGGCUAAAUACGUGCCAGCAGCCGCGGUAAUACGUAUGUUCCAAGCGUUAUCCGGAUUUAUUGGGCGUAAAGCGAGCGCAGACGGUUAUUUAAGUCUGAAGUGAAAGCCCUCAGCUCAACUGAGGAAUUGCUUUGGAAACUGGAUGACUUGAGUGCAGUAGAGGAAAGUGGAACUCCAUGUGUAGCGGUGAAAUGCGUAGAUAUAUGGAAGAACACCAGUGGCGAAGGCGGCUUUCUGGACUGUAACUGACGUUGAGGCUCGAAAGUGUGGGUAGCAAACAGGAUUAGAUACCCUGGUAGUCCACACCGUAAACGAUGAGUGCUAGGUGUUUGAGGGUUUCCGCCCUUAAGUGCCGCAGCUAACGCAUUAAGCACUCCGCCUGGGGAGUACGACCGCAAGGUUGAAACUCAAAGGAAUUGACGGGGACCCGCACAAGCGGUGGAGCAUGUGGUUUAAUUCGAAGCAACGCGAAGAACCUUACCAGGUCUUGACAUCCCUUGACAACUCCAGAGAUGGAGCGUUCCCUUCGGGGACAAGGUGACAGGUGGUGCAUGGUUGUCGUCAGCUCGUGUCGUGAGAUGUUGGGUUAAGUCCCGCAACGAGCGCAACCCUUAUUACUAGUUGCCAGCAUUCAGUUGGGCACUCUAGUGAGACUGCCGGUGACAAACCGGAGGAGGGUGGGGAUGACGUCAAAUCAUCAUGCCCCUUAUGACCUGGGCUACACACGUGCUACAAUGGCGUAUACAACGAGUUGCCAACCCGCGAGGGUGAGCUAAUCUCUUAAAGUACGUCUCAGUUCGGAUUGUAGGCUGCAACUCGCCUACAUGAAGUCGGAAUCGCUAGUAAUCGCGGAUCAGCACGCCGCGGUGAAUACGUUCCCGGGUCUUGUACACACCGCCCGUCACACCAUGAGAGUUUGUAACACCCAAAGCCGGUGGGGUAACCUUCGGGAGCCAGCCGUCUAAGGUGGGACAGAUGAUUAGGGUG